rnacentral:rRNA from 1 species
UCACACCCGUUCCCAUACCGAACACGGAAGUUAAGCUCUCUAGCGCCGAUGGUAGUUGGGACUUUGUCCCUGUGAGAGUAGGACGUUGCCA